rnacentral:rRNA from 1 species
CCCAUCAGAACUCCGCAGUUAAGCGCGCUUGGGCUAGAGCAGUACUGGGAUGGGUGACCUCCCGGGAAGUCCUAGUGUUGCACCCU